GUUCUCUGAGUUUCUUCAAGCAUUCGGUCGAUUUCGGGCGCGGCGCUUGUCGCGUUGUGCACUUGGGAUUUCAUGGCGCGUAUUUCAGCUACUGUCCGAGCCAUCGAGGCUUGCAGCUCUUUGAGUUCGAGAGUUUGUGCGUGAGUCAUUCCCUUUGAUUGGGGGAGUUGCUCCCGCUCCUCUCUCCUUGGCUCGUCUUCGCGCUCUGCCUGCUCGAUCCAUUGGAGGUUUUCUUCCUCCUCGGUUGGAUUUUCGCCGCGGGUCGGAUCGGAGACUUUGUUGGUUCGGAUGCUGUUUAGUGCCGAGGCGAGCUCUUCUUGACUUAUUCGGCGAGCCGAGCCGGUUUGUUGCGGAUUCGUGGUUCCGUCGUUCCACUGGGCGUCUACGUCAAUCACAUCGUUCUCUUCCUCGCCGGCUCGUCGCCUGGAUU
rnacentral:lncRNA from 1 species